rnacentral:lncRNA from 1 species
UGGUGGAGUCAUCACUGUCGCUCCAUGUAACCAUCAUAGUCUUUUUCUUCUUGAACUUCUUUUGAUCUUUCUUAAGCUGGGGGCAUUCUGAUCUGAAGUGGCCUGACUUCUUACACUCAUAAUAAAUGAUGGGCUAAUCUUUUUCUUUUUCUUUACUUGGCUCUCCCUUAGUUGGUAGUCUUCUCUUGAUCCCUUAUCUCUUUCUCUUCAUAAAGCGUCUAAAUUUUUUGAUGAUCAGGGCCAAAUCUUCAUCUUCCUCGCUAUUGUCU